AUGGGCAUCUAGGCUGGUUCUAUGUCUUGGCAACUUUAAACAGGACAGUGGUGAACACAAAUGAGCCUGCAUCUCUGGAAGAACUUAGAGUCCUCCUGGUGCUGCUGCUUGGGACUCUAGAAUCUACCAGAAGGGUCUGUUGGAACCAUUUGACCUGCCCUGGCCUCGGAGUGAUAGGAAGGACAAGUGGAGCCACUGCCACCAAGCUCUUGGCUCUGAUGACGGUCUGGGCCAACAUACAAAUGGAACUCUCCCUUUCAACAAAACAAGAGACAGUUCAUUCUGCAGCCAAAUAUGAGUGAUCACAGCCCCGGGUACAGAGAUUUGGGAGACCUCAACUUCCAUAUUGCAAUGUGAAGAAACUGAAUUGAAAGUACAGUCUCUAUUCCACACUGGCAUCUGCAGCAGCUUCCUGAAGCCCCGACAACUGCAGCCUGGACAGCCUGAUCCUGUCUCCAAGCUCAUGCCAAAGCUGCAGCUUUCAAAAUGGUUUUUGGUUGUCAACCUCAGGAAGAAAUGUGUUUCUCUGCCGCGCUCUGCAAGUAUGGCCACAAAAUAAAAAUUGGUAAUUUCCAGGAAAA